UACAGAGGGUGCAAGCGUUGUUCGGAAUUAUUGGGCGUAAAGGGCGCGUAGGCGGUGCGGUAAGUCUGUAGUGAAAUCUCUGGGCUCACCCCAGAAACUGCUCUGCAUACUGGCAGACUUGAGGGAUGCAGAGGUUUGUGGAAUUCCUGGUGUAGCGGUGAAAUGCGUUGAUAUCAGGAGGAACACCCAUGGCGAAGGCAGCAAACUGGGCAUCAUCUGACGCUGAGGCGCGAAAGCGUGGGUAGCAAACAGG
rnacentral:rRNA from 1 species